rnacentral:lncRNA from 1 species
UUUCCUGCAAAGGCGAUGCUGGUCUUUCGUGCGUCAUCACCGGGCCAAGCGUCGGAGGCAUCACGGUGGCCUACUAUUCGCGUCAGGCCAGCAAGCGGUCUGGUGUCUUGCUGCCUGCCCUGCGGAACUGGUGACCAGGCCUUCUAGCACCGUGGGGCUGGCAGCCUGCCCUGCAGAUCUGGUGGCCAGCUUUUCUUGCAGCCUGGUGCGAAGACGGACAGACGGGCCAAGUUCCGCUUCCUAGCAGGCGAGAUUGAUCUGGUCGUGUCUGGAACCCAUCUGUCAAGCAAAGGCGAUGCUGGCCUUUCUUGCAUCGUCGCCACUACCAGCUCGGGAAGCAGCGUGGUGGCCGACUGUACUAGCAGACCAGCGAGCCGUUGCAACGACCUGGCCUCUUGCAGCUCGCCCUGCGUGCGAAGUGAUGACCUGUUGUAGCGAAUUGAAAUGUCGCGGUGCGCUCUACGGGCUUCGUCGUCAGCUGUUCGAGCGAAACUGUAUCCUGCUGCCUGACCUGCGGAC